rnacentral:rRNA from 1 species
UACGAAGGGGGCUAGCGUUGCUCGGAAUUACUGGGCGUAAAGGGCGCGUAGGCGGCACUGUUAGUCAGGUGUGAAAUUCCUGGGCUCAACCUGGGGACUGCGCUUGAUACGGCAGAGCUAGAGGAUGGAAGAGGCUCGCGGAAUUCCCAGUGUAGAGGUGAAAUUCGUAGAUAUUGGGAAGAACACCGGUGGCGAAGGCGGCGAGCUGGUCCAUUACUGACGCUGAGGCGCGACAGCGUGGGGAGCAAACAGG